rnacentral:rRNA from 1 species
GCUAUUUAGGUUAGAGUUUGAUCAUGGCUCAGGACGAACGCUGGCGGCGUGCUUAACACAUGCAAGUGGAGCGACGAACCGGGCUUCGGCCCGGGGCAAAGCCGCGAACGGGUGAGUAACACGUGGGUAACCUGCCCCGAUGACCGGGACAACCCGAGGAAACUCGGGCUAAUACCGGAUGUGCUCCUUUCACAUCAGUGAAUUGAGUAAAGGUAGCUUCGGCCUCCGCAUCGGGAUGGGCUCGCGGCCUAUCAGCUAGUUGGGGGGGUAACGGCCCACCAAGGCGACGACGGGUAGCUGGUCUGAGAGGAUGGCCAGCCACAUUGGGACUGAGAGACGGCCCAGACUCCUACGGGAGGCAGCAGUGGGGAAUCUUGCGCAAUGGCCGAGAGGCUGACGCAGCGACGCCGCGUGUGGGAGGACGCCUUUCGGGGUGUAAACCACUGUUGCCCAGGACGAACACGGCUAUUCGUAGCCGCUGACGGUACCGGGUGAGGAAGCACCGGCUAACUCCGUG